rnacentral:rRNA from 1 species
AACGAACGCUGGCGGCAUACCUAACACAUGCAAGUCGAACGAGAUCUUCGGGUCUAGUGGCGCACGGGUGCGUAACGCGUGGGAAUCUGCCCUUUGGUUCGGAAUAACAGUUGGAAACGACUGCUAUACCGGAUGAUGACGAAAGUCCAAAGAUUUAUCGCCAGAGGAUGAGCCCGCGUAGGAUUAGCUAGUUGGUGUGGUAAAGGCGCACCAAGGCGACGAUCCUUAGCUGGUCUGAGAGGAUGAUCAGCCACUCUGGGACUGAGACACGGCCCAGACUCCUACGGGAGGCAGCAGUGGGGAAUAUUGGACAAUGGGCGAAAGCCUGAUCCAGCAAUGCCGCGUGAGUGAUGAAGGCCUUAGGGUUGUAAAGCUCUUUUACCCGGGAUGAUAAUGACAGUACCGGGAGAAUAAGCUCCGGCUAACUCCGUGCCAGCCGCCGCCGUAA